UACAGUCAUAUUACCUUGAAACACUAGUUCCUGUACGAUCACUGAAGUUAAGCAACGUUGAGCCUGAUCAGUAUCUAGAUGGGUGACUGCUUGGGAAUACCAAGUGCUGUAG